rnacentral:rRNA from 1 species
GCAUAUCAAUAAGCGGAGGAAAAGAAACCAACCGGGAUUGCCUUAGUAACGGCGAGUGAAGCGGCAAAAGCUCAAAUUUGAAAUCUGGUACCUUCGGUGCCCGAGUUGUAAUUUGGAGAGGGCGACUUUGGGGCCGUUCCUUGUCUAUGUUCCUUGGAACAGGACGUCAUAGAGGGUGAGAAUCCCGUGUGGCGAGGAGUGCGGUUCUUUGUAAAGUGCCUUCGAAGAGUCGAGUUGUUUGGGAAUGCAGCUCUAAGUGGGUGGUAAAUUCCAUCUAAAGCUAAAUAUUGGCGAGAGACCGAUAGCGAACAAGUACAGUGAUGGAAAGAUGAAAAGAACUUUGAAAAGAGAGUGAAAAAGUACGUGAAAUUGUUGAAAGGGAAGGGCAUUUGAUCAGACAUGGUGUUUUGUGCCCUCUGCUCCUUGUGGGUAGGGGAAUCUCGCAUUUCACUGGGCCAGCAUCAGUUUUGGUGGCAGGAUAAAUCCAUAGGAAUGUAGCUUGCCUCGGUAAGUAUUAUAGCCUGUGGGAAUACUGCCAGCUGGGACUGAGGACUGCGACGUAAGUCAAGGAUGCUGGCAUAAUGGUUAUAUGCCGCCCGUCUUGAAACACGGACC